GAACUGCGAUAAGUAAUGUGAAUUGCAGAAUUCAGUGAAUCAUCGAGUCUUUGAACGCACAUUGCGCCCCCUGGCAUUCCUGGGGGCAUGCCUGUCCGAGCGUCAUUGCUGCCCUUCAAGCCCGGCUUGUGUGUUGGGUCGUCGUCCCCUCCGGGGGACGGGCCCGAAAGGCAGCGGCGGCACCGCGUCCGGUCCUCGAGCGUAUGGGGCUUUGUCACCCGCUCGAUAAGGACCGGCCGGGCGCCAGCCGGCGUCUCCAACCUUUUUUUCUCAGGUUGACCUCGGAUCAGGUAGGGAUACCCGCUGAACUUAAGC
rnacentral:misc_RNA from 1 species